GGCAUGGUAAGCUAAAUAAGCUAAUGGGUUCAUACCUCAUCGAUGGUAAUUCCUGGUUAAUAUUU
rnacentral:tRNA from 1 species